UAGAGUUUGAUCCUGGCUCAGGACGAACGCUGGCGGCGUGCGUAACACAUGCAAGUCGAACGGUGUCUUUGACUUCGGUUGAGGGCGCAGUGGCGGACGGGUGAGUAACACGUGGAUAACCUGCCCUGGUGUGGGGGAUAGCCUUCAGAAAUGAGGGAUAAUACCGCAUACGGCGGCUGGGGAGUGGCGACACUCUCCGCCGGGAAAGCUUUUCAGAGCGCAAGGUCUGGGAGGCGCGCGAGGAGGGGUCCGCGGCCGAUUAGCUAGUUGGGGGGGUAAGAGCUUCCCAAGGCGACGAUCGGUAGCUGGUCUGAGAGGAUGGUCAGCCACACUGGGAUUGAGAACGGCCCAGACUCCUACGGGGGGCAGCAGUGAGGGAUCUUCGGCAAUGGGGGCAACCCUGACCGAGCAACGCCGCGUGCGGGACGACGCUUUUCGGAGUGUAAACCGCUUUUCUGGGGGACGAGGACUAGUACGGACGGUACCCCAGGAAGAAGUCUCGGCUAACUACGUGCCAGCAGCCGCGGUAAUCG
rnacentral:rRNA from 1 species